GAUGAAGAACGUAGCGAAAUGCGAUAAGUAAUGUGAAUUGCAGAAUUCAGUGAAUCAUCGAAUCUUUGAACGCACAUUGCGCCCGCCAGCAUUCUGGCGGGCAUGCCUGUUCGAGCGUCAUUUCAACCCUCGAGCCCCCCCGGGGGCCUCGGUGUUGGGGGACGGCACACCAGCCGCCCCCGAAAUGCAGUGGCGACCCCGCCGCAGCCUCCCCUGCGUAGUAGCACACACCUCGCACCGGAGCGCGGAGGCGGUCACGCCGUAAAACGCCCAACUUUCUUAGAGUUGACCUCGGAUCAGGUAGGAAUACCCGCUGAACUUAAGCGUAUCAAUAAGCGGAGGA
rnacentral:misc_RNA from 1 species